rnacentral:rRNA from 1 species
UACGAAGGGGGCUAGCGUUGCUCGGAAUCACUGGGCGUAAAGCGCACGUAGGCGGCUUCUUAAGUCAGGGGUGAAAUCCUGGAGCUCAACUCCCAGAACUGCCUUUGAUACUGGGAGGCUCGAGUCCGGGAGAGGUGAGUGGAACUGCGAGUGUAGAGGUGAAAUUCGUAGAUAUUCGCAAGAACACCAGUGGCGAAGGCGGCUCACUGGCCCGGUACUGACGCUGAGGUGCGAAAGCGUGGGGAGCAAACAGG